rnacentral:rRNA from 1 species
CACAUGCAAGUCGAACGAGCAAGAGAGAGCUUGCUUUCUCGAGCGAGUGGCGAACGGGUGAGUAACGCGUGAGGAACCUGCCUCAAAGAGGGGGACAACAGUUGGAAACGACUGCUAAUACCGCAUAAGCCCACGGGUCGGCAUCGACCAGAGGGAAAAGGAGUGAUCCGCUUUGAGAUGGCCUCGCGUCCGAUUAGCUAGUUGGUGAGGUAACGGCCCACCAAGGCGACGAUCGGUAGCCGGACUGAGAGGUUGAACGGCCACAUUGGGACUGAGACACGGCCCAGACUCCUACGGGAGGCAGCAGUGGGGAAUAUUGCACAAUGGGGGAAACCCUGAUGCAGCGACGCCGCGUGGAGGAAGAAGGUCUUCGGAUUGUAAACUCCUGUUGUUGGGGAAGAUAAUGACGGUACCCAACAAGGAAGUGACGGCUAACUACGUGCCAGCAGCCGCGGUAAAACGUAGGUCACAAGCGUUGUCCGGAAUUACUGGGUGUAAAGGGAGCGCAGGCGGGAAGACAAGUUGGAAGUGAAAUCCAUGGGCUCAACCCAUGAACUGCUUUCAAAACUGUUUUUCUUGAGUAGUGCAGAGGUAGGCGGAAUUCCCGGUGUAGCGGUGGAAUGCGUAGAUAUCGGGAGGAACACCAGUGGCGAAGGCGGCCUACUGGGCACCAACUGACGCUGAGGCUCGAAAGUGUGGGUAGCAAACAGGAUUAGAUACCCUGG